CUGGUGGGACCUUGGGUGGCUGACCUGUGACAGCGCCUGGGUGCUGAGGAGGCUUCUUCUCUCAGGAAGAGGCACAGCAAUAAUCUAUUUUCCCAAAUUCCACACCCUUGACUGAUGCUUUCAGCCUCACUUAAAUUAUUGCCUCGUUCUUUUGAUUGCUACACAAACCUUUGAAAAUAAACCGGAACAGCAAAUGACAUGGAGAUAAACCAAUGCCAGGAAAUGAAAGCCCAGGGAUGAGAUGAUUUUUAAGAGUUGAACUGAGCUGCAAGCAUGUGGACCAUGUAAGUGUUAACAGAGGCAGACAGAGAAGAGAGACCUGCCAUGAAGUGCUAUGGUGGGAGUUGUGUCAGUUCGGGAGUGGAGGAGUCCCAGGUGGCCCCAGAAGAAGAAGCCUCUGAACAAAGAAGACAAUGCUUGGGUUAUGGUGGAGGGGACAUGGAAGGUUAUGGGUUCUUCUGGAGUCUUCUGAACCUGCCGGGCAUUUCUGACUAG
rnacentral:lncRNA from 1 species